AACGAACGCUGGCGGCAGGCCUAACACAUGCAAGUCAAGCGCUCACUUCGGUGGGAGCGGCGGACGGGUUAGUAACGCGUGGGAACGUGCCCUUCUCUACGGAAUAGCCAUUGGAAACGAUGAGUAAUACCGUAUACGCCCUUCGGGGGAAAGAUUUAUCGGAGAAGGAUCGGCCCGCGUUAGAUUAGAUAGUUGGUGGGGUAACGGCCUACCAAGUCUACGAUCUAUAGCUGGUUUUAGAGGAUGAUCAGCAACACUGGGACUGAGACACGGCCAGACUCCUACGGGAGGCAGCAGUGGGGAAUCUUAGACAAUGGGCGCAAGCCUGAUCUAGCCAUGCCGCGUGAGUGAUGAAGGCCCUAGGGUCGUAAAGCUCUUUCGCCAGGGAUGAUAAUGACAGUACCUGGUAAAGAAACCCCGGCUAACUCCGUGCCAGCAGCCGCGGUAAUACGGAGGGGGUUAGCGUUGUUCGGAAUUACUGGGCGUAAAGCGCACGUAGGCGGACCAGAAAGUUGGGGGUGAAAUCCCGGGGCUCAGCCCCGGAACUGCCUCCAAAACUCCUGGUCUAGAGUUCGAGAGAGGUGAGUGGAAUUCCAAGUGUAGAGGUGAAAUUCGUAGAUAUUUGGAGGAACACCAGUGGCGAAGGCGGCUCACUGGCUCGAUACCGACGCUGAGGUGCGAAAGUGUGGGGAGCAAACAGGAUUAGAUACCCUGGUAGUCCACACCGUAAACGAUGAAUGCCAGUCGUCGGGUAGUAUACUAUUCGGUGACACACCUAACGGAUUAAGCAUUCCGCCUGGGGAGUACGGUCGCAAGAUUAAAACUCAAAG
rnacentral:rRNA from 1 species